GAGAAUCAAAAUUCAAUCAGUACACUUCUCUCAAGACUGGUGAGAGAGCUAUGGAGAAAUCCACUCCUGUCUGCAGCGAAAAAGGGAGAGAAUUCACUGAGAAGAUGCUGCAUCCAUUAAAGCUUCCUGGGAAAAGAUAAGAGUGGCGAAAAAUCAGAAUUAGAUCACACCAGCCAAAGCAAUUAAGGAGAAUAAGAUGUGCUUUCGCAAAUAUCAGGGGAAAGGAGAUUAUGGAGAGGAAAUAAGACUUAAUAAAUGCAGAGGACCAUGAAAUUAAUGAUGACCACAAAUGGCUGAAAUACCCAAUUCAUUCUUUGUUGGCUUUUGACGAGGAAAACAAAGAAAAGAAACCGAGCCAUUAAAAAGCAAGGACAAUGUGAGAAAAGUGGGAAGUACUGGCUGGCAGGGAGGAGGUGUCAACCCCUAGGGUCCCCAAGCUUUGCAGGUACUUUCUUGGGACCGAGGACACAGGGUUUGCCUAGCAGCCCUAGGCUGGGGAGCAUGAUGCGCUAAAGUCCUGAGUAGAGUGAGGAAGGGAAGGAGAGACUCCUAAGCCAAGGGGAGUUUGGAACCAUCCUUACAGCCCCAAAACCAGACUCAGCUGCUCUCCAGCGUGGCCCCUCCCCUCCCAUUCCCGCCCUGCCUCCCACUCUCUUUCCUCCUCCAGAGCUUUCUCUCCAGUGUUGAGUGCGCAUUUCCUGGCUUUUUCUCUCUAAAGAGCCCAGUUGACGAGAUUGUCCGGUUUCUGAGAAAUGGGAGGAAGACUGGAGAGGCGGGGGGAAUGCUGAGCCAGCAAGAACGGCUCCUCCUUUUUUGCUUUGAGUGAAGAGAUGAAGUUGAUUUCUGUAACUUGCCACCAAAAGUCCUGACUUACCCGGCCUGGUUCUGUGAUAGGCACUGGGGAGACAAGGGUAUGAAGAUAAGGGCGCUGACCUCAAAGAGCCCCAGCCCCUAAGAGAGACGUCACCCAGACACGAAUCUCUGCACGACAGGGUGAUGGAGGCCGUCCUGGUGGACUUCUGGGUGAAGUGCCCCGAAAGCUCGGAGGAGGAGGAAGCCACUGCGCUCAGGUGGACUGGCGAGGCCCCCCGGGCUGCCUCCUGACGGAUGGCUGGGAUUUUGACAAGCAGCAAAGGAGCACAUUUCAGACAGCAGGAACCCCAAGUGCCAAGGCCGAGAGCCACCAACAGUGCAUGGCAUCCAGGUGGUUAUGCAUGCAAGGGAAACGCUGUUAACCCAUUUUACAAUAUGGAAACUGAGGCUCCCAUUAGUGGUGACUUGCCCAAGGUCAUGCAGCCAGAGAGUGGCAGUCAGGCUUUGAACUUGGACCUUCUGGCUCCAGAUCCCGUAUUCUCUCUACCACCAGAGCACUCCGGCGACAGAGAUGGCAAAAUAAAUAAAGCCCAUCAAUAGUUAUGACUGGCUUCCCUGAAAUGGUAAGUGGCCUCAGGCUCACAGGGACUCGGCUUCGAGAAGACUGCCUUAAAUAAUGAACAGGAAGAUGAAAGAAACACUCUGUCCCCAGGCACUGCAUGGUCCUGCAAGUCGGCACCCCGGAUCCUGCAGACACCCUUGGGUUGCAAGCUCUCUUUUUCAUGAAACAAGGGUUAUGGCCAACACCCAUCAUCAUAAUAAAAUAAUGGCAGCAGCUAAUUUCCCGAGGCUUCAGGCGCAGCAGGGAAGGCUAUAAUAUUGCAAGCCAGCAGAAGCCAACCAAGUGGUGAUACAGUAGUUCUGUUUUACAUUACAUUAAAUGUUACUAUUUCUGAAGGGAAUAUCUGUGGAGCACUGGUGUAACCCAUAGCAACCAGCUAAUAAAUUGUAACUUACACUGCCUCAGCUUAUUGUAGGGGUGGAGAACAGCAGGGGGAAAAAAAAGACCAAAAAAAAAAAGGCUAAUGUUGGCAAAAAUGCCACAUUCCUCCCGCCACCCCCUCCAUACACACAGAGACACACACAGACACAGACACACACACCCCCUUCCCCACCACCGCUAAUAUAGGCUGCAUCAGCCUUCUCUAGCUAAAUUAAGGUGAAACGGGACAAUUAGCAGCCAAGGAUUUAGAAUUCUUGACUUUCACGUGUGUAUGUGUAUAUACAUAGGUGGACUUUGAGUGGGUCCGACGCUGGGCCCUGCUCGCCACAUGGAUGACCCGGUGCCUCACUUCCCAGCCUGUGUCGAGGGUGACAGUCCUCAGUGUCAAGCCCACACCUGGAACCGGGCCGCUUAGCUCACCUGUCCUUUCUGGGUCUGCAAAAGCUCCUGCCUAAUUGCUGCCGCACUUCUCAUUCACAGCAGGCUGCCGAGUCUCCAUCUUCACUACACUGCGCCUGCUCUCUGGCCCCAAGUUCAGUCGAUUCCUCCCACCCAUUCAUCCCCGUUCCCGGAGCCAUUCAGUCUUUCACGCACCCAGUCCAUCUCUCUGAAACCUGGGCAUGGGAUUCGUAUUUACAGGGGGCACUUUGGGGCCACCAGAUAGUCUGUUCAUGCGGGGGGCUGAUCAGCUGUGUACCCCCUGCAUCUGACCAUGUGAUCAGGCCAAACUUAAUGAAAUUGCUCCCUAGCCUGAAAUGCCCAUCACUCAGCUGCCUGGGAGGAAGGGACCACCUGGAUAAGUGUCCCUGGCCACCUUCCUUCCGUCUGGCCGUCUCUGCUCUGUGAGCAGAAGAGGGGGGCCAGGGGGUGCACCAAGGCUCAGGAUCCCCUUUCUCUUCCCCUAGGAGAGCAGCAGAGGGUACCAAGACAUACAGGGCUGAGAAUCAAGCCCUCAAGAUCCAGCACCCGAGGCAUGUACUAGCUGAGUGUCAUUUGGCAAAACCAUUCUGCUGCUAGGGCUUCAUUUCGUCACCUACAAGUGAGUGUGCUCUGUCAGCUCACAUUUAGCUGCAGAAACAGAAAACCCCACUGAAAGCGCUUUAAAGAGGAGGAAGCGUGUGUUCUCAGACAGCAAUGGUGAGGGCAGGCUGGAGGCUCCACUUCAGCUUCCCUGUGAUUCUCUCUGGGUGGGUUCCCGUCUCGCCAUCCUCCCCAUACCAGUGACCUUAAAUGCCCUGUGCAUUUGAAUGACCUUGAUCCCUACCCUCCAGUCCUGCAUUUCCUUGAAGCAGAAGUAAGGAAAAAAGCACCAGUCACAGCCCCAGUGCCUAACUCCCAUGAAGACACACCUGAGACUUAGAGAAAAAAAGGACAAGGUGGAGUUCCUGCCAUGGCGCAAGGGGGUCCAUGGCAUCUCUGGAGUUCUGGGUUACAGGUUUGAUCCCCGGCGGGGCACUGUGGGUUAAGGAUCCAGUGUUGCUGCAGCUACAGAGUAGGUUGCAACUGCAGCUUGGAUCUGAUCCUUGGCCCCAGGAACUCCAUAUGGGGGGGCCAAAAAAGAAAAGAAAAAGGGGACUAAAAUCUAGCCUUAGUUUAUCCAGCCCACAAUAGAGGUGGUAUUCAGGGGAAGAUGGUGGUGGAGGGAGGGGCUCUGAACUAAAGGCUUGGUCUGGCCCUGGCUGAUAAAACGAAGACCAGGCCAAGCCCAGGAUGCUAGACCAUCUGGCAGAAUUUCUAGGAAGGGCUGGACCCUGCUGCUUCUUGUCCCUGAAGCCGGAAGGGGCCAGCCUGUGCUGCUGGCCGUUGGCAGGUGGCCCUUUGCCCUCUGGGGCACCCAGUCUUGGCUAUACUUGUGUAUCAGAUCCACAGACCACGGUGUUUGGCCCCCUUGCGACUCCAGUCCUUAGCUUUCCUCUGAUGCACCUGCUCCCCAGGCAGGGCCAGACUUUUCCACAGACAGAAACAGUAGGGGUCCGAUGCUGCCACAGAGGUCCUCUGGCAUCCCACCUCCCUGGAUGCUGCCCCCAAUUUUAGGAUUGCCAGGCACAGUGGAUGAAGCAUCUUAGGCCCAUAAUACUUUGAGGGCCUGCAAACAUGUUUUAAUUUCUUUUAACGUCAGGGAAAAAUGAGUUGUUAGGGUCAAAGAUUACAUUCUUUAUGCCAACACAGUCAUGAAAUGUAUUUCAUAAUUUUUUUGUAGAGGAAGCCCUGACACCCCCCCGCCCAGGGAAAUGACAUCCCAGGCCCAGGAAGGUCAUGACAUAGCCCUGGGGGCUAGUUGGCUCUAGUCCCCUCCCUCCCCCAAAUUCAGGGCACCCGAAAAAGUCCCAGAUGCCUCCAGACCUUUCUCCUUGUUCCUCUGCUGUGGAGCCUACCCCAGCUUCUCUCCCCGCUGCAGCUCUAAGACUCAUGUUUUCAUGAAUCUGUAGCAAAAUGGGACAAACAAGAACAAUGCGAUGCAUUCUUCACCAAGUUAAAUUCAUACCAAGUACAGGACAUUCUUUUUUCUGA